rnacentral:miRNA from 1 species
UUGGACUGAAGGGAGCUCCCUU